rnacentral:rRNA from 1 species
CCUACGGGAGGCUGCAGUGGGGAAUAUUGGACAAUGGGCGAAAGCCUGAUCCAGCCAUGCCGCGUGUGUGAAGAAGGCCUUCGGGUUGUAAAGCACUUUCAGUGGGGAAGAAAGCCUUGGGGCUAAUACCCUCGAGGAAGGACAUCACCCACAGAAGAAGCACCGGCUAACUCCGUGCCAGCAGCCGCGGUAAUACGGAGGGUGCGAGCGUUAAUCGGAAUUACUGGGCGUAAAGCGCGCGUAGGCGGUCUGAUAAGCCGGUUGUGAAAGCCCCGGGCUCAACCUGGGAACGGCAUCCGGAACUGGCAGGCUAGAGUGCAGGAGAGGAAGGUAGAAUUCCCGGUGUAGCGGUGAAAUGCGUAGAGAUCGGGAGGAAUACCAGUGGCGAAGGCGGCCUUCUGGACUGACACUGACGCUGAGGUGCGAAAGCGUGGGUAGCAAACAGGAUUAGAUACCCUGGUAGUC